GCGGAAUGCGAGCAUGUACACAAACUUAACUGAAUGAUAUCCAUGACAGAGAACUUGGUGCCGAGGAAUGGAGCGCAAGUACGGAUGGUGCUUCCAUAAUCUUAGGCGAGCUUGCGAAUCUGUAGCACCCUGGUGAUUUUAGUAGUGCUAUUAGUCAUGGAGUGAACAUGGACAGAUGAAUGCGUCGCUAAACAGGGCUUCCGAAUUUGCAUUAUCACCAUGCUUUUUCCAUUCGUAUUCAGGUUCCAAAAAUGUUCUUGUAGUCGAUCGAUCUAUCAAGUGGAUUCAGUCCAGAUGCUAGCUUAUUCUUGGGAAGUCUUGAUUUGGAGGAAAAAAUCAUGUUGACUAGCUGUUGUUAUGCCUCAAAGCAGAGACUUUAUCUUACAUUUUGAUAUCUAAUGUUGGUUUAUACUUCUCUGAAUUUAUUUAUCCAUUAUGCUCUAUUACUAGAACAUCA